CUCCCCAAAACAUUUCAAUUUUCAUGAAACUCGCUCCGUGUCCCUGCGAAAUCCUAUCAGUUUCCGCAAACACCAUUUCCAGCCCUACCACAAAGCCGCACCGCCGCCGCCGCCGCGUUAAGCCAUACACCGCAGUCCCGCUGCCCCGGCCCUCAUCCUCCCAUCCUCGCCCCAACCCCUACUGAUGAGCCUUUUGCUCACAUGUCGACAAGCUGCUCCAUAGUUAACCGCCGAUGCCGCACGAGCUCCCUUGACCGUAGCCUCUCCUAUGUUGGGGCGGGUUGGGGGUGAAUCGGUGGAAAGAUACUGUCGCUUAGCGUCCUGUGAUUGUUCAUCGCCAAUUCCUGCAGUCCCAUCGCGAACUACCGGAGAAAGAAGCGGCGACUCGGCAGGCGAUGCUUUUGCUGUUGUCAUCCCACUACAGUUGUAUCUGCACGGUGGGCAGGGAUCGACACCGCACAGUCGACGAACACGAUCUGGCUACAAAAUGUCGAUUGGGGAGACGGACUCGCUGUUGCCACUGAAUCCACCGCUGGACUCCUAUGCACAAGAACCACAGGGAGCUGUUCCGUAAUAAGCAUUUUUGGAGGUGAGCAAGGUGCUGAAGAAGGCGUAGGCCACAGGGAAGAAGGUGGAGCUGUGGCCAUGCUUAGUCAAUUCAUUGACUUUGCAACAUCCAUGUUUCUUUUUUUUUUUUACAUGGCCUUUCAAUAUACAGUCACUUAUUGUAGAAUGAUGAGAAGUCACUCACAGUUACAGACCGAGUUGCUGAAUUUUAGUUUUGCAUGGCUAACAGGUGGUGUUGGCUGAUCUUUGCCUUAUGCUUUUUCUUGUGACUUGUGAUAUAAAUUUGUUACAAUCUUGCUGUGAUGACCUGACAUGUGAGUGUGGCUGAGUGUCAGAAACUAAGAACUCAAUUGAGAACUUGACACCUUGACAUCAAUAGAAACUGACAACUCAACUGAGUCUAGCAAUCCUGCUCCAUCCUCCUCUAUAGAAAUCAAUAUGUGCUUUGUUCUCCAAAAAUAAAUAAUGUGUGCUCUUGUAAAUAACAGAGUUAAAUGUUUCAGAUUGCUUUGUCUGAUAGUGCCAGACUGCUAGAUGAUGCAUUUGUUAAAUCACUUUAUUCAUGUUAGGUGUGUGUUGGUGUGUAUUAUUGUAUUACGCACUUAGGUUGUUAGCUCUAGCACUUAGAUUAUUAAUUCUGAAAGUCUGAAAUAUGAAUAUAGCAAGUACACAGUUAUAUGCUUCUUGUCACCUAUUUUUCAUGUCCCCAUUUAGAAUUGGAGAGAUUGAUGGAUAGUAAAAGUAUGUGGUUGCAACUGCAUAUUUAAUUUUAUACUGAGUACUAAGAACUGAGGUCUGACAUAACUUUAGUUUGUUAUUUAGCAAAUUAAAAAUGGAUAAUCAUUAUUGGACAAUGAAUCUAGUCAUCUAGUGGCUAUGUAUAAGAGGUGUGGUUUGGUGGCAGCCUAAUAUGAAUCUUUGUGGCCUAAUCGGGUUUUGUUCAGACCAUGUAGAACGAUAAUUUCUACUGAAAGCUAAUUUAUUUAUUUAUUUUGAUAUUUUUGUUGUAGGUAUUGUUAGUGGAAGCGGCUUCCGCUUCUUGACCCUCUUCCUGCCUUUGCCAGGUGACCAGCUGCAGGCAAGAGUUCCACCACCAGUGUGUCCUUGAGUGGAGGAAGCUGGAGGUUAAGUGGAGCACACGAGUGAUAUGAUGGUCAACAUCAAGCCAACCUUCUUUGCACUGCUAGACAUGGCUUAUUAGAUUUUGAUAUGAAGUGUGUUUGAUAUCUUAUGUGUGAGUUGUGCAUGUGUCUAAGCCAAAUAUGAGAUGAUUUGUACAAACAAAGCAUAUUAUGCAUUAGUGUUUGUCUAAAUGCUUUAUUGACCAUAAAUUAUUGUUCUAAAAGUUUAUGUAUAUUUUGUUUCAUGGUUGCAAUA